rnacentral:rRNA from 1 species
UACGUAGGGCGCAAGCGUUAUCCGGAAUUAUUGGGCGUAAAGAGCUCGUAGGCGGUUUGUCGCGUCUGCCGUGAAAGUCCGGGGCUCAACUCCGGGCCUGCAGUCGAUACGGGCGGACUCGAGUUCGGCAGGGGAGACUGGAAUUCCUGGUGUAGCGGUGAAAUGCGCAGAUAUCAGGAGGAACACCGGUGGCGAAGGCGGGUCUCUGGGCCGAUACUGACGCUGAGGAGCGAAAGCGUGGGGAGCGAACAGG